rnacentral:rRNA from 1 species
CCUACGGGUGGCAGCAGUGGGGAAUAUUGCGCAAUGGGCGAAAGCCUGACGCAGCGACGCCGCGUGAGGGAUGAAGUUCUUCGGAUUGUAAACCUCUGUCAGCAGGGAAGAAAAAAGACAGUACCUGUAGAAUAAGCUCCGGCUAACUACGUGCCAGCAGCCGCGGUAAUACGUAGGGAGCAAGCGUUAUCCGGAUUUAUUGGGUGUAAAGGGUGCGUAGACGGAGAAGCAAGUUAGUUGUGAAAUCCCUCGGCAUAACUGAGGAACUGCAACUAAAACUACUUCCCUUGAGUACUGGAGAGGCAGGUGGAAUUCCUAGUGUAGCGGUGAAAUGCUUAGAUAUCACGAAGAACUCCGAUUGCGAAGGCAGCCUACUAAACUGCCACUGACAUUGAUGCUCGAAAGUGUGGGUAUCAAACAGGAUUAGAUACCCUUGUAGUC